rnacentral:rRNA from 1 species
GCUCAACUGAGGAAUUGCUUUGGAAACUGGAUGACUUGAGUGCAGUAGAGGAAAGUGGAACUCCAUGUGUAGCGGUGAAAUGCGUAGAUAUAUGGAAGAACACCAGUGGCGAAGGCGGCUUUCUGGACUGUAACUGACGUUGAGGCUCGAAAGUGUGGGUAGCAAACAGGAUUAGAUACCCUGGUAGUCCACACCGUAAACGAUGAGUGCUAGGUGUUUGAGGGUUUCCGCCCUUAAGUGCCGCAGCUAACGCAUUAAGCACUCCGCCUGGGGAGUACGACCGCAAGGUUGAAACUCAAAGGAAUUGACGGGGACCCGCACAAGCGGUGGAGCAUGUGGUUUAGUUCGAAGCAACGCGAAGAACCUUACCAGGUCUUGACAUCCCUUGACAACUCCAGAGAUGGAGCGUUCCCUUCGGGGACAAGGUGACAGGUGGUGCAUGGUUGUCGUCAGCUCGUGUCGUGAGAUGUUGGGUUAAGUCCCGCAACGAGCGCAACCCUUAUUACUAGUUGCCAGCAUUUAGUUGGGCACUCUAGUGAGACUGCCGGUGACAAACCGGAGGAAGGUGGGGAUGACGUCAAAUCAUCAUGCCCCUUAUGACCUGGGCUACACACGUGCUACAAUGGCGUAUACAACG